UUUUAUUUGAGAGUUUGAUCCUGGCUCAGCAUGAACGCUGGCGGCGUGCCUAACACAUGCAAGUUGAGCGAUUUACUUCGGUAAAGAGCGGCGGACGGGUGAGUAACGCGUGGGUAACCUACCCUGUACACACGGAUAACAUACCGAAAGGUAUGCUAAUACGGGAUAAUAUAUUUGAGAGGCAUCUCUUAAAUAUCAAAGGUGAGCCAGUACAGGAUGGACCCGCGUCUGAUUAGCUAGUUGGUAAGGUAACGGCUUACCAAGGCGACGAUCAGUAGCCGACCUGAGCGGGUGAUCGGCCACAUUGGAACUGAGACACGGUCCAAACUCCUACGGGAGGCAGCAGUGGGGAAUGUUGCACAAUGGGCGAAAGCCUGAUGCAGCAACGCCGCGUGAGUGAUGAAGGCCUUCGGGUCGUAAAACUCUGUCCUCAAGGAAGAUAAUGACGGUACUUGAGGAGGAAGCCCCGGCUAACUACGUGCCAGCAGCCGCGGUAAUACGUAGGGGGCUAGCGUUAUCCG
rnacentral:rRNA from 1 species